ensembl:misc_RNA 7SK 7SK RNA
AGAUGUGAGGGCGAUCUGGCUGUGACAUCUAUCGCCAGGAUUGAUUCCUCUGAUCUGGCUGCCUACCGGGUGGACCCUUCCUCCCUCACCACUCCAUAAUUGUCCCUCCAGAAGCUGAACCCUAGGUGGAAAGCGGACUGCCUUCCCAGAAUAGAGACAGACUCGUCUUCAGUAGGCUGAGGGUAUAUGAGUAGCUGCACUCCCCUGCUAGAACCACCAAACAAGCUCUCAAGGUCCAUUUGUAGGAGAAAGUAGGGUAGUCAAGCUUCCAAGACUCCAAACGCAUCCAAAUGAGGUGCUGCAUGUGAUAGUCUGCCAUUCAAU